rnacentral:lncRNA from 1 species
ACUAGAACUCCUAUAUUUUGACUUCAUUACAAUAAGAACCAUAAUAUUAUUUUAGAUCUAUGAUGUCCAAUAUUAAAAGAAUAAGAAUGUAAUGAUAAAUGAUUCACAUAAGUAGCAUAAUCCUCAUAAGAUAAAUGAUAUAAGAUUAAGGAUUUAAAUGCAUAAAUAGUAUCAAAAAUUCAACUACCAUCGAUCAUAGUUAAUCUCAUUCAAAGAUAAAUAUUAAAUACAUCCCACAAACUCAAAUAUCUUUAAAAAAGUUUCAUAAACUAUUAAGUAGAAUAGUUUAGUUGAAUUAAAUAACAUCAUACAACAAACUUCAAUGCUCCAAUCAUCCUGA